rnacentral:lncRNA from 1 species
UGCCAGUCAAGGUGUGUCCCCAGUUGCCUUGGAUGUUUGUAUUCCACAGACCAGAGCAAGCGUUCCCGUCUUUUGCUGAACCGAACUACUGCUGUCGAUGCUUACAGGACGUCUACUCAGCCCUCCCCAGUAUCCAGCAUGCUUUGGGCUGCCACAAGACCUCCGCUCCAUCUCCUCGCUUCAGAUGAAGAAGAGUAAAGAAUAGAAGAAAGAAGAGAAGAAGCAGGCCAGUCGCCGAGGGGGCGUCAGGAGGACUCAGUGGCCCCAUCCUCACCCCAAGGUCCAAUGCCAACCCUAGGCCGAGAGAAGAGACCCCAGCCUGGGGAGGAGAGCCAGGGAUCCCAUGCCCCCACAGCAGCUGCGUGUGGAGGAGACUGCUGGGAACCGACAGGACGGACAGCCCAGCCACAGAGAGGAGAAGAAGGCAGAGAGGAGGAUGGGGGAGAGGGAGAUGGAUGUAGAGCAGAGCAAGAAGGUGAAAUAUGCUGAUAGAACGUACCAAAAGAGAUUGAUAGAGAAAAGAGAGGAUGAAAUGGAAGAGCUGGAUUUGAACCAGGGACUGUAGUGAUGCCACUUGCACUGAAAUGCAGUGCCUUAGACCGCUUUACUUUGGAAAUGUGGUAAUUGUUGAUAAAUUGUUGUUGUUUUCUACUUUAUGUGUAUUAAGCGUGGGGAAAUCCACUUUACAAAAUAAAGAUUCUACAUGUAAAAUUGGUUUGCACUCGGCUUCCUAAAUUACGGCCCACACUCUGUUCAGAGGUGCUAAGUACUCUCGGCCGUCAAACGCUGUUUGUGUGUCCGAGCCUUUAGCUCUGAUGGCUCAGAAAUCUCCGCCAAUGGGAUUCAGUCAGUCAGACGACAGAACAGAUUUCAUCCUUCCCUCUCAAAUGUGUCAACUUGUCUUUAACCACCUGUGCCUUCUGAGCUGG